AAACAUUUCCAAAUCCAGAUAAGCUACUCACCAAUGAAACGCAUUUUAUUCAAUAAUAUAAUUUAAUAGGAGCCCUGCCUCCAUUUCGGGGUGCCCCCUCAGACUAACACUAAGGAAGAGUUUGCUUCAAACCCUUGUUUUUUUUCUUCCUGAUGAGCCAUAAGCUCUUGACCUUUUCUGUAACAUAAGGAGGUUGGUUGCUGGGCUUUUCUCUGUGAAAAUGCUAACAUCUGCAUCUAACUAUUAAUUACCAAGAUCUUUUUUGGUUCUUUUAGCCUCAGCAGUCAUUGCUCUAAUCCUUAAUAUCAAGUCUUCCCAUCAGGGGACUAUUCGUUGUUAUUAUCGCUCUACACGGUUUCUAAGGUGUCCACCCACAUCACAACUAAGUCUGAAAGAGAGAAGCAUGUGGUAAGAGCUGCUUUGCCUACACAGGAAAGGAACAUUUACAUGAAAACUGCUAUACAGUGACCAACAUGGGCGAGCAAAUGGCAAAUCCCCUCAGGAAAUGGUAUGUUGUUGAGCUGCUAAAGUGGAUUUCCUCCCACCAGCACAGCCAAGAGUCCUGCCUGAACUGCCUUCUGAGGCUGAGCUGCUUUCAACCUGCCACUGCUUAGAAAUGGGAACACUGAGGCACAAGAAAUUUCUUUAAUGCUACAGAAAAGGUGCAUAACAGGCCAGAACAAAAUACAGUAGAACAGCCUUGGUCAAAUGGACAGAUGUCUGCAGCCAAGCCAGUUCCCUGAAGCUUAACCAUUAUUUUAAACAAUGAAACAUUUUCCUUUUACUGUGAA